rnacentral:rRNA from 1 species
AAAGCACCAAGGAGCAGGUAUCAGGCACAACCCGUUAGCCCAAAACACCUUGCUACGCCACACCCACACGGGCACCCAGCAGUGAUUAACAUUAAGCUAUGAGUGAAAGCCAACUUAAGCUCGACUUAGUUAUGAUUAUUCGGGUCGGUAAACCUCGUGCCAGCCACCGCGGUUAUACGAGGGACCCAAAACAACGGACACCGGCGUAAAUUGUGACUAGAGCACCUACUUAUAACAUUGGAAGAUAAAUAAAAACUCAACCGUAAAACCUGAGCCAAAAGAAAUAUAUUCUCCCAACUACAAAGGAACUUGAACCCACGAAGACUAAGAAACAAACUAGGAUUAGAUACCCUACUAUGCUUAGUUGUCAACACGAUACCAAAAAACAUCGGUAUCCGCCAGAAAAUUACACGCGAAAAGCUUAAAACUCAAAGGACUUGGCGGUGCUCCGUACUCGCCUUAGAGGAGCCUGUCCUAUAAUCGAUAACCCACGCUUUACCUUACCAUUUUUUGUAAAACAGCCUAUAUACCGCCGUCGCAAACUUACCCCGUGAGGGCAUAACAGUAAGUAAAAUAGUAACGCACGAAUACGUCAGGUCAAGGUGUAGCUAAUAAGAUGGAAGAGAUGGGCUACAUUUUCUAAAACAGAAUAUACGGCAAAGAACAUUGAAACAUGCUCUAAAAGGUGGAUUUAAUAGUAAGAUAGAAAAGAGUGCCUAUCUAAGUC